UACGUAGGGAGCGAGCGUUGUCCGGAUUUAUUGGGCGUAAAGAGCGCGUAGGCGGCUCGGUAAGCCGGAUGUGAAACCUCCAAGCUCAACUUGGAGCGGCCAUUCGGAACUGCUGUGGCUAGAGGCUGGUAGGGGAACACGGAAUUCCUGGUGUAGCGGUGAAAUGCUUAGAUAUCAGGAGGAACACCAGUGGCGAAGGCGGUGUUCUGGGCCAGUACUGACGCUGAGGCGCGAAAGCGUGGGGAGCGAACAGG
rnacentral:rRNA from 1 species